rnacentral:rRNA from 1 species
GAUGAACGCUGGCGGCGUGCCUAAUACAUGCAAGUCGAGCGAACAGACGAGGAGCUUGCUCCCCUGUCGUUAGCGGCGGACGGGUGAGUAACACGUGGAUAACCUACCUAUAUUACUGGGAUAAUUUCGGGAAACCGGAGCUAAUACCGGAUCAUAUAUUGAACCGCACGGUUCAAUAGUGAAAGACGGUUUUGCCGUUACUUAUAGAUGGAUCCGCGCCGCAUUAGCGAGUUGGUAAGGUAACGGCUUACCAAGGCAACGAAGCGUAGCCGACCUGAGAGGGUGAUCAGCCACACUGGAACUGAGACACGGUCCAGACUCCUACGGGAGGCAGCAGUAGGGAAUCUUCAGCAAUGGGCGAAAGCGUGACGCAGCAACGCCGCGUGAGUGAAGAAGGUCGUCGGAUCGUAAAACUCUGUUAUUAGGGAAGAACAAAUGUGUAAAUAACUAUGCACGUCUUGACGGUACCUAAACAAAAAGCCACGGCUAACUACGUG